rnacentral:lncRNA from 1 species
UAUAUAUAUAUAUAUAGUUGAGCUAAAAUAUUUUCAAAAGUAUCAAGAGGUUGGUACUUUUGAAUUUUUAAUACUUGGAUGGAAAAAUAUAAGGUUUGGAUGAUGAUGGUAGGUGGCGGUAGAUGCAAUAGUAUUUGAUCCAAAGACUAGAAGCACCAAGAGAGUAAUAUACUUCUAAAAAUAUUCUAGCUCAAUUAUAUAUAUAUAUAUAUAUAUAUAUAANAAACUUCUAGAAAAUAAAUUUCGUAAAUUUUCGAAAUCAUAAUAAAGUCUAUCAAGUGGGCAUAAAAUGAACAGUCAAAAUCGAACGACGUCCUAAAAAAGGAUGAUCGGAUCCUUCAAUUCAAGAUCGGAGUUAUUGAUCUUUAUCUAUAUAGUGAAUAGAAUUUUCUAUCAAAAAUUCAACAAAUUUCGAUUCUUUUACACCGUUAAACUAGCGAGUAUUCCAUACCGGCCGUUAAAAAUUGUCAAAUUUGUGACCUCUUGAUCGUAAGGUAAAUGAUGUCGAAAAAUUAUAAAAUUUGAUUUCUAAAAGUUUUAAAUGCUGUAAAUAACAUUUAACGGUGUGGAUCGUCGAUUUGGAAGCUCUAUCAUCGAAAACAAUUUAUGAGUACGACGGUAAUCAUAUUCAUAAUAGUAUAGUAGCCGGACCCUAUAUAUAUAUAUAUAUAUAUA